AUGGUGGUUGUGCUUUCUGCUGUUGACUUUUCAGUGGAUAGAUGCUUGUUCACAGUGCAGGAGGUUUUUGUACGGCCACUUAAUGAGUUUGUAUCACUGUGGUUGACUUUUGGUGGAGGAACCAAACUCAUCAUUAACUCUGGCCCCAUGGUCAGGCCCUCAGUCUCUCUGCUUCCCCCCUCCUCUCAGCAGCUCUCUGGGGGCUCGGCCACGCUGGCCUGCCUGCUGACCGGCUACUCUCCUCAGGGAGCCGUGGUGAGCUGGGAGGUGGACGGUAGAGAGGUGACAGAGGGGGUCCUGAGCAGCUCAGAGGAGGAGAAGAGCGGACGCUACAGCAGCAGCAGCAUCCUGAGCCUGAGCCAGGAGCGCUGGAUGGAAGGAGAGCUGUACUCCUGCAAGGUCCUCCAUCAGGACCACAGCCAGACCAAGUCCCUCCACAGGAGCCAGUGUAAGGGCUAGAGGGGCUGGCUGAAGCCCAGGACAGGAGCUGUGUCUGGGGGGAGCAGGAGGAACACACCUGCUCAUCUGAUCAAUAUGAGUUUUAAUGUCUGUAGAGUAAACUGAAGCUUUGUGUGACAAAGAACAACAACAACUUAGAGAGUAAUGUGUGUAGCUCAGCAGCUAGAUGUGAGUGUGCUUAAUAACUGUCCUGUUGAUGAUUGAUGUUUUUGCUAAUAAAGCUUGCACUGAUGAAAGAAAACAUUAUAAA